GCGGUUAUGACAGGGGCUUCCCAACGACCUUUUUAUAUGAAAGGCGGGAAAUAGCCUCUAACCCGGGUUCGAAUCCCGGCAGCCGCA
rnacentral:tRNA from 1 species